ensembl:snoRNA SNORA70 Small nucleolar RNA SNORA70
CUACAGUCAGCUAAAUUGACUGUCCUCUUGCCUUGUGGGGGCCAGUGAGCAAUGGCUGCAAACAGCAGCCUCGUCAGUAGGGUACCCAACCUGUUGCACAUAUAGGUUGCCUAAAGGAGACAGCC